rnacentral:rRNA from 1 species
CCUACGGGAGGCAGCAGUGAGGAAUAUUGGUCAAUGGACGAGAGUCUGAACCAGCCAAGUAGCGUGAAGGAUGACUGCCCUAUGGGUUGUAAACUUCUUUUAUAUGGGAAUAAAACGUUCCACGUGUGGGAUUUUGUAUGUACCAUAUGAAUAAGGAUCGGCUAACUCCGGGCCAGCAGCCGCGGUAAUACGGAGGAUCCGAGCGUUAUCCGGAUUUAUUGGGUUUAAAGGGAGCGUAGGUGGAUUGUUAAGUCAGUUGUGAAAGUUUGCGGCUCAACCGUAAAAUUGCAGUUGAAACUGGCAGUCUUGAGUACAGUAGAGGUGGGCGGAAUUCGUGGUGUAGCGGUGAAAUGCUUAGAUAUCACGAAGAACUUCGAUUGCGAAGGCAGUUCACUGGACUGCAACUGACACUGAGGCUCGAAAGUGUGGGUAUCAAACAGGAUUAGAUACCCCUGUAGUC